AGGGGGCUAGCGUUAUCCGGAAUUACUGGGCGUAAAGCGCGUCUAGGUGGUUUGGUAAGUCUGAUGUGGAAAUGCGGGGCUCAACUCCGUAUUGCGUUGGAAACUGCCAAACUAGAGUACUGGAGAGGUGGGCGGAACUACAAGUGUAGAGGUGAAAUUCGUAGAUAUUUGUAGGAAUGCCGAUAGAGAAGUCAGCUCACUGGACAGAUACUGACACUGAAGCGCGAAAGCAUGGGGAGCAAA
rnacentral:rRNA from 1 species